rnacentral:rRNA from 1 species
GAUGAACGCUGGCGGCGUGCCUAAUACAUGCAAGUCGAGCGAACGGACGAGAAGCUUGCUUCUCUGAUGUUAGCGGCGGACGGGUGAGUAACACGUGGAUAACCUACCUAUAAGACUGGGAUAACUUCGGGAAACCGGAGCUAAUACCGGAUAAUAUUUUGAACCGCAUGGUUCAAAAGUGAAAGACGGUCUUGCUGUCACUUAUAGAUGGAUCCGCGCUGCAUUAGCUAGUUGGUAAGGUAACGGCUUACCAAGGCAACGAUGCAUAGCCGACCUGAGAGGGUGAUCGGCCACACUGGAACUGAGACACGGUCCAGACUCCUACGGGAGGCAGCAGUAGGGAAUCUUCCGCAAUGGGCGAAAGCCUGACGGAGCAACGCCGCGUGAGUGAUGAAGGUCUUCGGAUCGUAAAACUCUCUUAUUAGGGAAGAACAUAUGUGUAAGUAACUGUGCACAUCUUGACGGUACCUAAUCAGAAAGCCACGGCUAACUACGUG